UCCCGUAGUUGACGACGUGUGUUCAGUGAAAUCGAGUAGGGCGGGACACGUGAUAUCCUGUCUGAAUAGGGGGGGACCAUCCUCCAAGGCGAAAUACUACUGACUGACCGAUAGGGAACCAGUACCGGGAGGGAAAGGCGAAAAGAACCCCUGUGAGGGGAGUGAAAUAGAACCUGAAACCGUGUACGUACAAGCAGUAGGAGCA
rnacentral:rRNA from 1 species